rnacentral:pre_miRNA from 1 species
CAUGGACCAGUGGGGUCCUUUGGCCUGGCCUGCACUGUCUUGCAAUCCGGAAACCCCUAGGGGGGAUGUUGGAGAGCUGGUUUCAGCCUGAUCCUGCAGGCCAGGCUGAGGGACCCCACUGGUGCAAG